rfam:Penicillium decumbens strain IBT 11843 PENDEC_contig015, whole genome shotgun sequence.
AGCAUGUUGGCGUAGGGGAAACGCGCCGGGCUCAUAACCCGGAGAUCCCUGGAUCGAAACCAGGACAUGCUA